ensembl:lncRNA
AUGUAUUUGACAACAGAUGAAUAAAUGGCACAUUGUGAGGAAUUCAGUGUGUUUACAGAAAAAGUUGAAAUAUGUUUUCUGUCUUCUCAUUGCCUCUUACUAGGUUUUGGAGGCCGUGGUGUUCUCCCUGAAGUGGCCACAGGAUCUGGACUUGGGCCUCAGACUGGGGCAGGAGUACUCGGCCAAGGUGGAGCUGGACCAGGAGGAGCAGGAAAUGGCCGUGGACAGCAAUUGCCAGGGGUUUUCCGUGGUUACCCUCUCAUAUCACCAAAAUCAGGGAGUGGCAAAACAAAGAAUCCAGCCAAAGCUGCAGCUAAAUAUGGUGGAGCUGGAGCUGGAGGAGGAACGCUUGGUCAAGGAAGCGCUUUGGGGGGUGGGGCUGGAAGACUCCCUGGAGGAGGGGCAGGAAUCACACCUGGAUUAGGAGGCGGAGUUGGAACAGGAGGUGGACCUGGAGGAGCCAUACCUGGUUUAGGUUAUGGUCCUGGCUCAGCCAAAGCACGUAAAUAUGGUCAGACAGGCCUUGGAGGAGGAGGACCAGGUGGAGGACUGGGGCCUGGCUCAGGCAUUGGGACAGGUGUAGCAGGGGGCGGCUAUGGUUAUGGUCCAGGCAGUGCAGGCACAGGCUCAGCUGGAGGCCUUGGAGGCGGAGGACCAGGAGGAGGAGUUGGCCUCGGCACAGGUGUGGCACCUGGCUCUGGGGUCGGUUUUGGUCCAGGCGGUGCCGGCACUGGGUCAGGUGGCCUUGGUCCUGGUGGUGCUGGUACUGGGUCAGGUGGCCUUGGUCCUGGUGGUGCUGGUGGUGCUGGUACUGGCCCUGGAGGAGCUGGUUACGGGCCUGGUAGAACUGGGUAUGGACCAGGUGGCACUGGAGCUGGAUUGGGAGGAGCCGGAACAGGACCUGGAGGGUAUGACGCGAGUGCCAAAGCUCGUAAAUAUGGCAUGCUAAGUGGAGCACUUGGAGGUUUAGGCACUGGUGGAGUCAGGCCUGGAGGUACUGGCACUGGUUAUGGACCAGGUGGUGCUGGCUAUGGACCCGGCGGUGCUGGAACAGGCUAUGGACAAGGUGGUGUCGGACCUGGAGGUGCUGCUACAGGCUAUGGACAAGGUGGUGUCGGACCUGGUGGUGCUGGUGCAGGUAAUGGACAAGGAGGUGUCAGACCUGGUGGUGCUGGAACAGGCUAUGGACAAGGUGGUGUCGGACCUGGCGGUGCUGGUACCGGUUAUGGACCAGGUGGUGCUAGUACUGGUUAUGGACCAGGUGGUGCUGGAACAGGUUAUGGACAAGGUGGAGUUGGACCUGUUGGUGCUGGAUAUGGACCUGGUGGAGGAGUUGGACCUGGUGGUGCUGGCUAUGGACCUGGAGGUUAUGCUGGUGCCAAAGCUCGUAAAUAUGGUCUGCCUGGAGGAGUUGGAGGAGCCCUGGGUGCAGGAGGACUUGGUGGUGGAGUCGGGCCUGGUUCUGGGCUCGGAGUAGGAGGAGGGGUCCCGGGAAGAGGUGUUGGACUAACAACUGGUGGUGGACCUGGAGCAGGACUGGGGACCGGUGCGAUACCUGGGUCAGGUGUUGGAACGGGUGGUGGACCUGGUGGCUUUGGACUAGGUAGUGCUGGAGGGCUUCCUGGUGGUGGUGGAGCCCCAGGAUCUGGUCUGAACGUAAUAUUUGGUGGCCCAGCAGCAGGAGGAGGAUAUGGCCCUGGGACCGGAGGAGCACUCGGAACUGGAAGAGCAGGAUAUGGACCUGGUGGAUAUGGACCUGGCGGAUAUGGGCCUGUGCCUGGUGCUGGUUACGGACCAGGGGGAGGCUAUGGUGCAGUACCAGGAGCUGGAUAUGGAACAGGCUAUGGAGCUGGAUCAAAAGCUGCUAAAUAUGGUCAAGCUGGAACCACUGGUGGGGUACUUGGAGGUGGAGUGGGACGAGAGGGCCAACCUGGUGGUGUUGCACCUGGGGCAGGAGCCGGGACAGGCACUGGAGGAGCAGGGGCAGGAUCAGGGACCGGCACUGGAGGUGCAGGUGCAGGGACCAGCACUGGAGGAGCAGGUGCAGGGACCGGGACAGGUACUGGAGGAGCAGGUGCAGGGACCGGCACUGGUGUUGGUACAGUGAAUGGAACCAGCACUGGCAGGGGUGCAGUGACGACAGCUGGACCCACUGGGGGAGGACUUGGCAGCGCAGGAGGCACACCAGCUCCAGCAUCAGAAGGUGAUGGUGGAGCUGGCAGCGUGAUAGAAGGUUCUGGAAGUUCUGGAGGAGAAGGAGGUGCAGGUGUAGCCGGCAGACCAGUGGGAGCAGGUGCUGAUGGAGACGGCCUGAGUGGAACAGGGAUCCCCAUCAUUGCAGCAAAACCAGGAGUCAAUGGGACCGAAGUUCCAGGUUCUAGUGAAGAUGUCUCAGGUGGUUCACUGCCUGGAGCUAAACCUCUCAAACCCCCAGGUGUCCCCAGAGGUGACACACCCGGUGAAGGAGAUGGAGAGGAAGGCCCCGAUGGAGAGGAGACAGUCCUGCAACUGGAACUGGAGUUGGAGCACAGAGUGCAACUGGUGGAGUAG